AUUGAACGCUGGCGGCAUGCCUUACACAUGCAAGUCGAACGGUAACAGGUCUUCGUAUGCUGACGAGUGGCGAACGGGUGAGUAAUACAUCGGAACGUGCCUAGUAGUGGGGGAUAACUACUCGAAAGAGUAGCUAAUACCGCAUGAGAUCUACGGAUGAAAGCAGGGGAUCGCAAGACCUUGUGCUACUAUAGCGGUCGAUGGCCGAUUAGGUAGUUGGUGGGCUAAAAGCUUACCAAGCCGACGAUCUGUAGCUGGGCUGAGAGGAAGAUCAGACAGACUGGGACUGAGACACGGCCAAGACUCCAAAGGGAGGCAGCAGUGGAGAAUCUUGGACAAUGGACGAACGGCUGAUCUAGCAAUGCCGCGUGCAGGAUGAAGGCCUUCGGGUGGUAAACUGCCUUUGUACGGAGCGAAAAGCCCCGGGUUAAUACCCUGGUAUCAUGACGGUACCGUAAGAAUAAGCACUGGCUAACUACGUGCCAGCCGCCGCCGUAA
rnacentral:rRNA from 1 species